GCUCGCAUAGUCUAACGGUUAGGACGGGGUCCUGAUAAGACCCAAACCCGAGUUCGACUCUCGGUGUGAGUA